GCCUCGGUGGCUUAGCCUGGUAUAGCAUUACCUUGGUAAGGUAAAGGUCGUGGGUUCGAAUCCCACCCGAGGCU
rnacentral:tRNA from 1 species